rnacentral:rRNA from 1 species
AUUCGGCUCAGGACGAACGCUGGCGGCGUGCUUAACACAUGCAAGUCGAACGCUGAAGCUUGGUGCUUGCACUGGGUGGAUGAGUGGCGAACGGGUGAGUAAUACGUGAGUAACCUGCCCUUGACUCUGGGAUAAGCCUGGGAAACUGGGUCUAAUACUGGAUACGACAUGUCACCGCAUGGUGGUGUGUGGAAAGGGUUUUACUGGUUUUGGAUGGGCUCACGGCCUAUCAGCUUGUUGGUGGGGUAAUGGCUCACCAAGGCGACGACGGGUAGCCGGCCUGAGAGGGUGACCGGCCACACUGGGACUGAGACACGGCCCAGACUCCUACGGGAGGCAGCAGUGGGGAAUAUUGCACAAUGGGCGAAAGCCUGAUGCAGCGACGCCGCGUGAGGGAUGACGGCUUCGGGUUGUAAACCUCUUUCAGCACGGAAGAAGCGAAAGUGACGGUACGUGCAGAAG